rnacentral:rRNA from 1 species
GGGUAGAUGCACCGGGCUGGACCUCUCGGGGUUACAGCCUUGCUGAAUUAUUCCCCUUGUCUUUUGCGUACUUCUUGUUUCCUUGGUGGGUUCGCCCACCACUAGGAAAACAUAAACCUUUUGUAAUUGCAAUCAGCGUCAGUAACAAAUUAAUAAUUACAACUUUCAACAACGGAUCUCUUGGUUCUGGCAUCGAUGAAGAACGCAGCGAAAUGCGAUAAGUAGUGUGAAUUGCAUAAUUCAGUGAAUCAUCGAAUCUUUGAACGCACAUUGCGCCCUUUGGUAUUCCAAAGGGCAUGCCUGUUCGAGCGUCAUUUGUACCCUCAAGCUUUGCUUGGUGUUGGGCGUCUUGUCUCUAGCUUUGCUGGAGACUCGCCUUAAAGUAAUUGGCAGCCGGCCUACUGGUUUCGGAGCGCAGCACAAGUCGCACUCUCUAUCAGCAAAGGUCUAGCAUCCAUUAAGCCUUUUUUUCAACUUUUGACCUCGGAUCAGGUAGGGAUACCCGCUGAACUUAAGCAUAUCAAAA